GACGAACGCUGGCGGCGUGCUUAACACAUGCAAGUCGAACGGAAAGGCCCUGCUUUUGUGGGGUGCUCGAGUGGUGAACGGGUGAGUAACACGUGAGUAACCUGCCCUUGACUUUGGGAUAACUUCAGGAAACUGGGGCUAAUACCGGAUAGGAGCUCCUGCUGCAUGGUGGGGGUUGGAAAGUUUCGGCGGUUGGGGAUGGACUUGCGGCUUAUCAGCUUGUUGGUGGGGUAGUGGCUUACCAAGGCUUUGACGGGUAGCCGGCCUGAGAGGGUGACCGGCCACAUUGGGACUGAGAUACGGCCCAGACUCCUACGGGAGGCAGCAGUGGGGAAUAUUGCACAAUGGGCGGAAGCCUGAUGCAGCAACGCCGCGUGCGGGAUGACGGCCUUCGGGUUGUAAACCGCUUUCGCCUGUGACGAAGCGUGAGUGACGGUAAUGGGUAAAGAAGCACCGGCUAACUACGUG
rnacentral:rRNA from 1 species